UUGCUUUUGUAGAACUGACUU
ensembl:piRNA 21ur-11991 ncRNA